rnacentral:lncRNA from 1 species
GUUUUUUUUCCCCCCAAAAUCCAUCAGAAAUUCGGGUUUUUUUUCCCCAAAAUCCUCCUGAAAUUUGAGUUUUUUUCCCCAAAAUCCUCCUGAAAUUUCGUUUUUAUUCACCAAAAAAACCUCCUAAAAUUUGGGGUUUUUUCCCCCAAAAACCUCCUGAAAUUUGGGGUUUUUUCCCCCAAAAUCCAUCAGAAAUUCCGGUUUUUUUUCCCCAAAAUCCAUCAGAAAUUCAGAUUUUUUUCCCCCAAAAAACCUCCUGAAAUUCAGGUUUUUUUCACCCAAAAUCCUCCUAAAAUUUGGGGUUUUUUAACCCAAAAUCCUCCUGAAAUUUGGGGUUUUUUUCCCCCAAAAUCCAUCAGAAAUUCAGGUUUUUUUCCCCCCAAAAACCUCCUGAAAUUUGGGGUUUUUUCCCCCAAAAUCCUCCUGAAAUUUCGUUUUUAUUCACCCAAAAAACCUCCUAAAAUUUGGGUUUUUUUCACCCAAAAUCCUCCUGAAAUUCGGUUUUUUUCCCCCAAAAUCCUCCUAAAAUUUGGGGUUUUUUCACCCAAAAUCCUCCUGAAAUUCGGUUUUUUUUCCCCCAAAAACCUCCUGAAAUUUGGUUUUUUUUCACCCAAAAUCAUCCUGAAAUUUGGGGGUUUUUUCCCCAAAAAACCUCCUAAAAUUUGGGUUUUUUUCCCCAAAAACCUCCUAAAAUUUGGGGUUUUUUUUCCCCCAAAAUCCUCCUGA